GAUGAACGCUGGCGGCGUGCCUAAUACAUGCAAGUCGAGCGAACAGAUCAGGAGCUUGCUCCUUUGACGUUAGCGGCGGACGGGUGAGUAACACGUGGGUAACCUACCUAUAAGACUGGAAUAACUCCGGGAAACCGGGGCUAAUGCCGGAUAACAUUUAGAACCGCAUGGUUCUAAAGUGAAAGAUGGUUUUGCUAUCACUUAUAGAUGGACCCGCGCCGUAUUAGCUAGUUGGUAAGGUAACGGCUUACCAAGGCGACGAUACGUAGCCGACCUGAGAGGGUGAUCGGCGACACUGGAACUGAGACACGGUCCAGACUCCUACGGGAGGCAGCAGUAGGGAAUCUUCCGCAAUGGGCGAAAGCCUGACGGAGCAACGCCGCGUGAGUGAUGAAGGUCUUCGGAUCGGAAAACUCUGUUAUUAGGGAAGAACAAAUGUGUAAGUAACUGUGCACGUCUUGACGGUACCUAAUCAAAAAGCCACGGCUAACUACGUG
rnacentral:rRNA from 1 species